rnacentral:tRNA from 1 species
GAGGUAUUAGGUUAAUCAAAACUUACAGUUUGUCAGGUUGUAAAUCUUAGUCUUAAGAUAUCUCG